GGUAGGGUGGCCGAGGGUCAGGCGGCGGGUUGUAGCCCCGACUACAGAGGUUUAAGUCCUCUCUCUACCA
rnacentral:tRNA from 1 species